rnacentral:rRNA from 1 species
AUUCCAGCUCCAAUAGCGUAUAUUAAAGUUGUUGCGGUUAAAAAGCUCGUAGUUGGAUUUCUGUUGAGGACGGCCGGUCCGCACUAUGUGCGUGUAUCUGGUUCGGCCUUGGCAUCCUCUUGAGGAACGUAUCUGCGCUUGAUUGCGUGGAGCGGUAUUCAAGACUUUUACUUUGAGGAAAUUAGAGUGUUCACGGCAGGCAAGCGCCUUGAAUACGUUAGCAUGGAAUGAUAAUAUAGGAUCUUGGUUCUAUUUUGUUGGUUUCUAGAGCUAAGGUAAUGAUUAAUAGGGAUAAUUGGGGGCAUUUGUAUUAACGCGUCAGAGGUGGAAUUCUUGGAUUGCGUUACGACAAACUACUGCGAAAGCAUUUGCCAAGGAUGUUUUCAUCA